rnacentral:rRNA from 1 species
UCCGUGCCAGCAGCCGCGGUAAUACGGAGGGUGCAAGCGUUGUCCGGAAUCAUUGGGCGUAAAGAGUUCGUAGGUGGUUUGUUAAGUUUGGUGUUAAAUGCAGAGGCUCAACUUCUGUUCGGCAUCGGAUACUGGCAGACUAGAAUGCGGUAGAGGUAAAGGGAAUUCCUGGUGUAGCGGUGAAAUGCGUAGAUAUCAGGAGGAACAUCGGUGGCGUAAGCGCUUUACUGGGCCGUAAUUGACACUGAGGAACGAAAGCCAGGGUAGCAAAUGGGAUUAGAUACCCCAGUAGUCCUGGCCGUAAACGAUGGAUACUAGGUGUUGCGGGUAUCGACCCCUGCAGUGCCGUAGCAAACGCGUUAAGUAUCCCGCCUGGGGAGUACGCACGCAAGUGUGAAACUCAAAGGAAUUGACGGGGACCCGCACAAGCGGUGGAACAUGUGGUUUAAUUCGAAGCAACGCGAAGAACCUUACCAGGGCUUGACAUCUAACAAACCUUUGUGAAAGCAGAGGGUGCUCUUCGGAGAAUGUUAAGACAGGUGGUGCACGGUUGUCGUCAGCUCGUGUCGUGAGAUGUUGGGUUAAGUCCCGCAACGAGCGCAACCCUCGUCGUUAGUUGGUACUAUCGGUAUACUUAUAGUAACCUCUCUAGCGAGACUGCCGGUGAUAAACCGGAGGAAGGUGAGGACGACGUCAAAUCAUCAUGCCCCUUAUGCUCUGGGCUACACACGUGUUACAAUGGCCGGUACAAUGAGCCGCCAACUCGCGAGAGUGAGCAAAUCUCUAAAAGCCGGUCUCAGUUCGGAUUGCAGUCUGCAACUCGACUGCAUGAAGUCGGAAUCGCUAGUAAACGCAGAUCAGCACGCUGCGUUGAAUACGUUCCCGGGUCUUGUACACACCGCCCGUCACACCAUGGAAGUCGACCACGCCCGAAGUACGUGAGCUAACCGUAAGGAAGCAGCGUCCUAAGGCAGGGUUGGUGACUGGGGUGAAGUCGUAACAAGGUAGCCGUACCGGAAGGUGUGGCUG